UCCCUGGCAGUCCAGUGGUUAGGGCUCUAUGCUUCCACCACAGCGGGCACAGGUUUGAUCCCUGAUUGGGGAA
rnacentral:tRNA from 1 species